CCUACGCGUGGCUGCAGUGAGGAAUAUUGGUCAAUGUGCGAGAGCCUGAACCAGCCAAGUCGCGUGAGGGACGACGGUCCUAUGGAUUGUAAACCUCUUUUGUCGGGGAACAAAGGCGCCCACGGGUGGGCGGAUGAGUGUACCCGAAGAAACAGCAUCGGCUAACUCCGUGCCAGCAGCCGCGGUAAUACGGAGGAUGCAAGCGUUAUCCGGAGUUAUUGGGGUUACAGGGUGCGUAGGCGGACAGUCAAGUCAGCGGUAAAAAUGCGGUGCUCAAAGCCGUACAGCCAUUGAAACUGGCAGUCUUGAGUGGGCGAGAAGUAUGCGGAAUGCGUGGUGUAGCGGUGAAAUGCAUAGAUAUCACGCAGAACUCCGAUUGCGAAGGCAGCAUACCGGCGCCCUACUGACGCUGAGGCACGAAAGCGUGGGUAUCGAACAGGAUUAGAUACCCUGGUAGUC
rnacentral:rRNA from 1 species